rnacentral:rRNA from 1 species
AUUGAACGCUGGCGGCAGGCUUAACACAUGCAAGUCGAGCGGAGAUGAGGUGCUUGCACCUUAUCUUAGCGGCGGACGGGUGAGUAAUGCUUAGGAAUCUGCCUAUUAGUGGGGGACAACAUUCCGAAAGGAAUGCUAAUACCGCAUACGCCCUACGGGGGAAAGCAGGGGAUCUUCGGACCUUGCGCUAAUAGAUGAGCCUAAGUCGGAUUAGCUAGUUGGUGGGGUAAAGGCCUACCAAGGCGACGAUCUGUAGCGGGUAUGAGAGGAUGAUCCGCCACACUGGGACGGAGACACGGCCCAGACUCCUGCGGGGAGCAGCAGUGGGGAAUAUUGGACAAUGGGCGGAAGCCUGAUCCAGCCAUGCCGCGUGUGUGAAGAAAGCCUUUUGGUUGUAAAGCACUUUAAGCGAGGAGGAGGCUACCUGGAUUAAUACUCUAGGAUAGUGGACGUUACUCGCAGAAUAAGCACCGGCUAACUCUGUGCCAGCCGCCGCGGUAAGAC